GAGGGGCAGCAUGUCUUAGCUUGCUAAGGCGAUGGCGACCGGCGCACGGGUGAGUAACGCGUAUCCACCUGCCUUACACUCUUGGAUAGCCUUCUGAAAGGGAGAUUAAUACAAGAUGUUUAAGCAUUCAUAAAGGUUUCCGGUGUAAGAUGGGGAUGCGUUCCAUUAGAUAGUAGGCGGGGUAACGGCCCACCUAGUCUUCGAUGGAUAGGGGUUCUGAGAGGAAGGUCCCCCACAUUGGAACUGAGACACGGUCCAAACUCUACGGGAGGCAGCAGUGAGGAAUAUUGGUCAAUGGACGAGAGUCUGAACCAGCCAAGUAGCGUGAAGGAUGAAGGUUUAUGGAUUGUAAACUUCUUUUAUACGGGAAUAACGAAUCCACGCGUGGAUUUUUGCAUGUACCGUAUGAAUAAGGAUCGGCUAACUCCGUGCCAGCAGCCGCGGUAAUACGGAGGAUCCGAGCGUUAUCCGGAUUUAUUGGGUUUAAAGGGAGCGUAGAUGGGUUGUUAAGUCAGUUGUGAAAGUUUGCGGCUCAACCGUAAAAUUGCAAUUGAUACUGGCAGUCUUGAGUACAGUUGAGGUAGGCGGAAUUCGUGGUGUAGCGGUGAAAUGC
rnacentral:rRNA from 1 species